rnacentral:rRNA from 1 species
UGGUGAAUCUUCCGCAAUGGACGAAAGUCUGACGGAGCAACGCCGCGUGAGUGAAGACGGCCUUCGGGUUGUAAAGCUCUGUGAUCCGGGACGAAAGAGCCUGAGGUGAAUAGCCUAAGGCAGUGACGGUACCGGAAAAGCAAGCCACGGCUAACUACGUGCCAGCAGCCGCGGUAAUACGUAGGUGGCAAGCGUUGUCCGGAAUUAUUGGGCGUAAAGCGCGCGCAGGCGGCUUCCUAAGUCCAUCUUAAAAGUGCGGGGCUUAACCCAGUGAUGGGAUGGAAAGGGGGAAGCUGGAGUAUCGGAGAGGGAAGUGGAAUUCCUAGUGUAGCGGUGAAAUGCGUAGAGAUUAGGAAGAACACCGGUGGCGAAGGCGACGUUCUGGACGAAAACAGACGAUGAGGCGAGAAAGCGUGGGGAGCAAACAGG